rnacentral:lncRNA from 1 species
UUGGAGAGGCUGGAGGGCAUGCUGGCCCAGUCCGUAAGCACUCAGUACCACAUGGCUGGGGUCCGAACGGAAGAGACUCUGAGGGACUUUGAAGAUGGCAUGGAAGUUGACGCGGCCCCAGUAGUUACGGGACAGUUCGAAGAUGCUGAUGUUGAACAUUAAAGCAAGAUUCUCUUGGCAUCUUCAAAGCAGGAUUCCCCAAGAUUGGCAAGGUUACAAGAAUGAACACAGUUCCUCUAUUUGACCCAACCAUGAAGACUGUAAAUGGUUUUGUAGCUGUGCUUAUAAAACAUGAUUUGACUUUUUUUUCAUACAUAAGAGAUGCAACACACACAACAGGGGAAGCUACAUCUUGGUUCUGAUCGAGAAUUAAUUAUGACUUGCAACUUAAGAGCCUUUACAUGAUAUACCAGAGCAGGGAUAUCCAAGUUCAACAAGUGUUAAGGCUAGUGGACUUCAACUCCCAAAAUUUAAGACUUUGGGACUUCAACUCCCAGAAUCUAAGACUUUUGAGACUUCAACUCCCAGAAUUUAAGACUUUUGAGGCUUCAACUCCCAGAAUUUAAGACUUUGGGGCUUCAACUCCCAGAAUCUAAGACUUUUGAGACUUCAACUCCCAGAAUUUAAGACUUUUGAGGCUUCAACUCCCAGAAUUUAAGACUUUGGGGCUUCAACUCCCAGAAUCUAAGACUUUUGAGACUUCAACUCCUAGAAUUUAAGACUUUUGAGGCUUCAACUCCCAGAAUUUAAGACUUUGGGGCUUCAACUCCCAGAAUCUAAGACUUUUGAGACUUCAGCUCCCAGAUUUUAAGACUUUUGAGGCUUCAACUCCCAGAAUUUAAGACUUUGGGGCUUCAACUCCCAGAAUUGCCCAGGCAGCCAUGCUGGGCAAUUCUGGGAGUUAAAGUCCCAAAGUCUUACAUUCUGGGAGUUGAAGUCUCAAAAUCUUACAUUCUGGGAGUUGAAGUCCACAGAUCUUAAAAGUUGCCAAGGUUGGACAGGAAUAAAAUUGUUAAGUGAAUCCAUGGAUUGUUAAGUAAGGAAUAAAAUUGUAACUUAGAACAGAAUUCUAGAUGGUUCCAGGAUCGUUCUCCUAUGUUUUAAUGUUUGUUUGUCUACAGCCAGGUUCAUGCAACAGGAAUUAUUAUGCUAUUAUCUUAAGGUGGUUAGAGCUAGGACAGAGAUGCGGAGUCAAAGAAAUUGUGGAAAUCCUGCAAUGAAUUGACUCCCGUCUCUCCCAGAAUCUUGUAUGAUGUUUCUAAGGGCCCAUUUUGGCACCGAGCAGAUGGUUGUGCGCUCCAGAUAAAAUCUUUUUGUUAUUUCUGCUAUAAAGAAAAAUGAAGUGGUUCAAUAAAGAUGAUUUUUGUAUCUUACAG